rnacentral:rRNA from 1 species
CGCGGGAUUCCCAGUGUAUAAAGCUGGGGGAAUAAGGAGAGGGCAAGCCUGGUGUCAGCCGCCGCGGUAAUACCAGCUCUCCGAGUGGUGGGGAUGCUUAUUGGGCCUAAAGCAUUCGUAGCCUGCUUGGCAAGUCCUCCGUUAAAUCCAACGAUUCAAUCGUUGGGCUGCGGGGGAUACUGUCCGGCUAGGGGGCGGGAGAGGCCGACGGUAUCCUCGGGGUAGGGGUGAAAUCCUAUAAUCCCGGGAGGACCACCAGUGGCGAAGGCUGUCGGCUAGAACGCGCUCGACGGUGAGGGAUGAAAGCUGGGGGAGCGAACCGGAUUAGAUACCCGGGUAGUCCCAGCUGUAAACGAUGCAGGCUAGGUGUUGGCGCGGCUACGUGCCGCUCCAGUGCCGCAGGGAAGCCGUUAAGCCUGCCGCCUGGGAAGUACGGCCGCAAGGCUGAAACUUAAAGGAAUUGGCGGGGGAGCACCGCAAGGUGUGAAGCUUGCGGUUUAAUUGGAGUCACGCCGGAAAUCUCACCGGGGGCGACAGCAGAAUGAAGGUCAGAUUGAAGGUCUUACCAGACAAGCUGAGAGGAGGUGCAUGGCCGUCGCCAGUUCGUGCCGUGAGGUGUCCUGCUAAGUCAGGCAACGAUCGAGACCCGCGUCCCCUGUUGCCACCGGCCUUGAGCCGAGCACACUGGGGAGACUGCCGCCGAUAAGGCAGAGGAAGGAGCGGGCCACGGCAGGUCAGUAUGCCCCGAAUCCCCCGGGCUACACGCGAGCUGCAAUGGCAGGUACAGAGGGUACCGACUCUGAAAGGAGAAGGAAAUCCCGAAAGCCUGCCGUAGUUGGGAUCGAGGGUUGAAACUCACCCUCGUGAACAUGGAAUACCUAGUAACCGCGUGUCACUACCGCGCGGUGAAUACGUCCCUGCUCCUUGCACGAAUUCGCCGAAUCACUAGU